UGACAGAACUUUCAUUUUAUGUGAACUAUCCCUAUAAAUGUAAUAAAAUUAUUGACAUGAUCUUCAAUUGCUGCCUCUUGCAGACAAACAAGAGAAUUCAAACUCUUCAAAUUAUUCAAUGCAUAUGAUAAAUGCUUUAUAUACUAAAAUAUUACGCUUCUUCCACCUGAUAUUUGAUUCAUAUAUUGUCAUAUUGUCUUUUAAAGAAAUAAUUCACCAAAAAAAGUAAUGUGCAUGAUUUUUCUUCUUCUUCUGUGUUAUUUUUGGGUGAACUAUGCCUUUAAAUGAUUGCACUUGUGUAGGUGGAAUAUCUAUAUUGGUUAAGCAAACAUAUUAUCUGUAAAAGGGUUGUUGUUUUUGGUAAGAUGGUGUUCAUUCUUGUGUUAAACAAAUGAAAACAUGAUGUCAUAUCAGUAGACAAUCUUCUCUAGAAUAAGGAUGACAAAUGAGUAAAGAGGAUGCUGCGGUUUUUCUGACCAAACCAAAAUGUGAUAAGAACAGAAGACAGCUCAAUUGUUUUUUAGACAUAAUGCAGAUGAAAGAAGCUACAUAUUUCCUAUAAUACUAGAGCUUCAAUGUCCAUCUUAAAAAAGGGAGAGAUUGUGGUGUUGCUGAAGAGUUUGGAUUAUUUUCCCUAAUAUAAAUUGCUCUUCGUCAAAAGAUGGCCAAUUGAUUUCUGUCUCAUGUUAAUAUGACAGCAAAUAUUUAUUAUACUACCUUGCUUGUUUUGAAGUAGCUCUGUGAGGAGCAUUCAUGUGGGCAAGUUCUUAUGCCACAAAGGAAACCCAUGUAUUCUUUUGCAAUGGUUUGUUUACCAGAAUGGAGAACUUGCACCGCACACAUCCCCUUGAAAUGUGCACUUAAACUUUUAAAUGACCAAUAAACUGCCCUUUUCUUGAUCUCUUAUAUAUUUUUAUAAGAUAUUUAUAUCUCUUUUUUUAUUUAUAUGUAAUGCUUUGCAAAGUCAUACUUUUUUAUAUAUAUAUAUAUAUAUAUAUAAAAUAUGGGUUUAAAUUCCCAGUAAUGUCUUGCCAUUUUAUUAUUGUUUUAACAAGGUGUGGGACAUGAGCUGUGUGGUACUUUAGACAAUUAUUCAAUGAUUUUUCUUUCCUUGUAGCAUUAGCAAAUUGUAAAACAGCAUAAUGCUUGUAUGACAGUUGUUUCUGCUUAAUCUUUCUCAGCAAUUAACUUCUGCAUUAAGCAGGAAGUUUUGCAAGAUGGUGUAAAGUUAUGAAACUCCAAACCUGUGUGACUUUCUUCUGUGGAACCUAAAGGAGAUGCUAUGGAGAAAGUUAGGGACUUGAUAUUCUGUUUUUCAGGUAUGCAGUAAGCAACUUUACAUUUCAGCAGUCAUGCAUAUUCGGUUUCAGGUUCAAAUCAACAUUGCGUGCAUCAGCGCCCCCAAGUUGAGACUUAAAAUAGUGAUCAGUGAUUAGUCUUAUGUUGCUAGAUAAGUACAAUAAAAACAGUCAGUCAGUAUACUUUAACUUUUACUUAAUUAUGUUUCCAAGGGCAAAAUUAUGUUAUGUUAUUUACUAUAUUAACAAAAUUACAUAAUUCCCAUAAUUACUAGGUUAAAUAAAACUUUCAAGAGAUGGUUCAACCCAAAAUGUUAUAAUUUAUUAAUGUUGUUCCAGAGCUGUUUGGUCUUUCCUCUUUGAAACACAGAAGAAGAGAUAUUCAGAAAUUACAAGUCACUCUUUGCAAUUGGUGACAGGAUCUUCAUUUUUGGGUGAACACUCUCGUUAAGAUCUACAGUGGUGGCCAAAAUUAUUGGAACACCUUCUGAAAAUAUUGACCUUCUUUGCAUCCAAAACAUUAUUCUAUUUCAUAAUGUUCAUGAACCAUGCAGAUGGUUGCUCUGAGCACAACAAAUAUCAGAUGAAGUGAGUCGUACUGUUUUUAUCCAUUUUUAACUUUAAUAUUUAGUAUGUCCACUUUUUGCAGCAAUUACAGCAGCACAUCUCUAGUGCCAAUAUAUUUCCUGAGAACUUCAACACUAAUGCUGAAGCAAAUCAAGCCAAAGGCUUUCCUUUGAAUGUACAAUAGAUUUGUCCUGUUUAUAUUCUAACUCGCCCCAAAUUUGCUUGAUGGGGUUGAGGUCCAAACUUUGAGGGGGCCAGUCCAUCAUUUUCAGUGUUCAAACAGAUUCCUUCGGUCGCAGGUAGUUCCAGCAAUAGUUUGUUUUAUGGGUAUUAUAAUUGCCAAUUCAACAAUGAAUUGAACAAUGAACAAUCAAAACAAAUGAUUUGUAAGAAAUGUUUAUCAGGGCCGUUUAUCAUUUUUCUUAAACAUUUUAAAGUGAAACUGUAAAGCAAAUUUCUCUAAAGUGUAAAAUCAGCUUCCUUCCUUCUGAGGGACAUUCUCAUUAAAUGCUUAAAUUGUUCCCUGAUUAGGAAUUUUUCCUCAGAUCACUAGUUAAUGAAAAUGUCACAAUAAAUUAGUCUAUGAACAUUGUCUUGAAGCGCC
rnacentral:lncRNA from 1 species